ensembl:lncRNA
UUUCAUUUGAAAUAGGAGUCCUUCUGGGAUGAGAGCAGGACAGCAUUGCUCAGUGUGUGUUUUAGUAAAGCAAGCAGGUUUCUUCUCAGGCGUCCUUACAGAGAAAGUCACUUUGCUACUAAGGUGAACCACUUCAACAACAGCUUGGAGUUUGUGGGAUUUCUUUACAAAGAUAUUUGUUCACAUUUAAAGAAAGGAGUCUUCUGAUUCAGGAGACUGCUUUAAUACAAUAAUGGCCUACCGCGUUUCUGUUGAUUUGAUCUGAAACUGUCAGAUGACUUCCUUCUGACUCCACAGCACUUCUUGCUCCUAUCCAACUUGCUGGACAAGCGGGUACAAAGGCUGCUGAGAAGGGCAGAAGAAUGAGGUAACACAGAAUACUAGCUACACAGAAAAACAGUUAACUACGACAGUAAUAUGGUUAUCUGACCAAGUAAUAUGGAGAUCUGACCAGGAUAUGUGUCAGUAAACUGAUCAUGGAGGAAUCUGCUGCUAACAACUGAAAAUAUUUAUCCAGGCUGAUAGAUGUGUCAGGUAGGUGGUGGGUGCUCUUACAAUUCAGUCAGUCUCUUCUCAAUUUAAUUGUUUCACAAAAGCUCAUCAAUAUCCAGCAGAUGCAUCCCAUAAUUAUAUCAUAUCUUUCAGAGUUAUAGAUUCAGGCACUUUAAAUUGGUCUCAAUGUUGUAAAGUUUUAAUUAUCUAUAAAAUCUGUUGUUUCAACAUUCUUGCCCUCUGUUCACAUAGAUGGACUCUGAACCUCUGAAAUAAGCCAACCUUCACGAGGGAAGAAAACAAUCAGUCACUUUUCUGCAAGAUUCAGAUCACAGUGUGACUGCACAAACUGGCAUGACUCGACUGCUGGAACAAUUGAAAGUGUGGGAACAUGUGUGGUAUUGUCACCAAACACACUGUCAUGUCAAAUCAUAGCCUCAAGCAAAGGACUGAAGGAUGUGAUUUGGACCUGGAUCUCUCUCAUCAUGACUGAGAUUUACAAGAUGCGUAGAGGAGGCUACAUGCCUUCUUCCAGAAGCUUUGUGAAUCAACUUUCAGGAUGUUUUUUUCCAUGUCUUAAUAAUAAAAAUGAAAUAA